AGAGUCCACAUCGACGGGGAGGUUUGGCACCUCGAUGUCGGCUCAUCACAUCCUGGGGCUGUAGUAGGUCCCAAGGGUUGGGCUGUUCGCCCAUUAAAGUGGUACGCGAGCUGGGUUCAGAACGUCGUGAGACAGUUCGGUCCCUAUCCGUCGCAGGCGUAGGAAAUUUGAGAAGACCUGUCCUUAGUACGAGAGGACCGGGAUGGACGUACCUCUGGUGUACCAGUUGUCCUGCCAAGGGCAUGGCUGGGUAGCUAUGUACG
rnacentral:rRNA from 1 species